rnacentral:rRNA from 1 species
GCUCAGUAACACGUGGAGAACGUGCCCUUAAGUGGAGGAUAAUCUCGGGAAAUUGAGGAUAAUACUCCAUAGAUCAUGAGAUCUGGAAUGACUCAUGGUUCAAAGUUCCGGCGCUUAAGGAUCGCUCUGCGGCCUAUCAGGUAGUAGUGGGUGUAAAGUACCCCCUAGCCUACGACGGGUAUGGGCCUUGAGAGAGGGAGCCCAGAGUUGGAUUCUGAGACACGAAUCCAGGCCCUACGGGGCGCAGCAGUCGCGAAAACUUCACACUGGGGGGAACCCCGAUGAGGGAAAUCCUAGUGCUAGGACAUUUGUUCUAGCUUUUCUCAAGCGUAGAUAACUUGAGGAAUAAGGGCUGGGUAAGACGGGUGCCAGCCGCCGCGGUAAUACCUGCAGCCCGAGUGGUGGUCGAUUUUAUUGAGUCUAAAACGUUCGUAGCCGGUCCGGUAAAUCCCUGGGUAAAUCGGGAAGCUCAACUUCCCGAAUUCCGGGGAGACUGCCGGGCUUGGGACCGGGAGAGGCUAGAGGUACUUCUGGGGUAGGGGUAAAAUCCUGUAAUCCUGGAAGGACCACCGGUGGCGAAGGCGUCUAGCUAGAACGGAUCCGACGGUGAGGGACGAAGCCCUGGGUCGCAAACGGGAUUAGAUACCCAGGUAGUCCAGGGUGUAAACGCUGCAGACUUGGUGUUGGGGGCCCUUCGGGGGGCGUCCAGUGCCGGAGAGAAGUUGUUAAGUCUGCUACUUGGGGGAGUACGUCCGCAAGGAUGAAACUUAAAAGGAAUUGGCGGGGGAGCAC